rnacentral:rRNA from 1 species
AUACGGAGGAUGCGAGCGUUAUCCGGAUUUAUUGGGUUUAAAGGGAGCGUAGGCGGGAGCUUAAGUCAGCGGUUAAAUGGUGCGGCUCAACCGUGCCCUGCCGUUGAAACUGGGUUUCUUGAGAGUGCAAGAGGCGGAUGGAAUUUAUGGUGUAGCGGUGAAAUGCUUAGAUAUCAUGAAGAACUCCGAUUGCGAAGGCAGUCCGCUGGGGCACGUCUGACGCUGAUGCUCGAAGGUGCGGGAAUCAAACAGGAUUAGAUACCCUGGUAGUCCGCACGGUAAACGAUGAUUACCCGCUGUCGGCGGCAGACAGUCGGCGGCCAAGCGAAAGCGAUAAGUAAUCCACCUGGGGAGUACGCCGGCAACGGUGAAACUCAAAUGAAUUGGCGGGG